GAUGAACGCUGACGGCAUGCUUAACACAUCAGCAAUUGAUUGGUGGCGGACGGGUGAGUAACGCGUAAAGAACUUGCCUCACAGCUAGGGACAACAUUUGGAAACGAAUGCUAAUACCUAAUACUGUGGGAGAGCUUUGCGUCCCAUUAGCUAGUUGGAGAGGUAACGGCUCACCAAGGCGAUGAUGGGUAGCCGGCCUGAGAGGGUGAUCGGCCACAAGGGGACGGAGAAACGGCCAUUACUCCAACGGGAGGAAGCAGUGGGGAAUAGUGGACAAGGGACCAAAGUCUGAUACAGCAAUUCUGUGUGCAAGAUGAAGUUUUCGGAAUGUAAAGUGUUUUCAGUUGAGAAGCGGUACCAACAGAAGAAGUGACGGCUAAAUACGUGCCAGCAGCCGCGGUAAUAC
rnacentral:rRNA from 1 species